GGGAGAGGGAGUGUUAGAUGUUUUCUCUGUUGGAGUGCCUUCAUUUACAAAGCAUAUUUUUCAAGUCUUUUGCUAAGAGUAAUGCCAUGGAGCAGCCUCCCAUCAUUCUUGUUAAUAGGACUGUCUGUGUGUUACAGUAAACAGCUAUAACUCUUCUGUUGGAGCCGUUGUGCAGCAGGCAGAGUUUGUUCAGUAUCCAAUUAAGGGUGUCUCCAAUUUGCCAGCCAGGAUCAUGAGAGCUGUGACUCAGCCAUCAGGCAACCUGGGCAUUGUGGAGGCUUCUCAAAGUAGAGAGGGCUGAUGCCCUUCCUCCUCCGCAGCAAGGGGACUGGAGCCUGGCUCUAGACGAUCUCUGUUUUGUUUUGUUUUGUUUUGUUUUGUUUUGUUUUGUUUUGUUUUUACAUGGAGUUUCGCUCUUGUUGCCCAGGCUGGAGCAUAGUGGUGCGAUCUUGGCUCACGGCAACCUCUGCCUCACGGGUUCAAGUGAUUUUCCUGCCUCAGCCUCCCAAGUAGCUGGGAUUACAAGAGUGUGCCACCACGCCUAGCUAAUCUUGCAUUUUCAGUGGAGACAGGGUUUCAACAUGUUGGUCAGGCUGGUCUCAAACUCCUGACCUCAAGUGAUUCAGCCGCCUCGCCUCCCAAAGUGCUGGGAUUACAGGUGUGAGGCACCACAUCCGACCUCUGCUCUUCCUCAAAGGCCACCAAAUCAUGCCAGCUAACUGUGCAAAGAUGUUAGCCUGAUAGUCAAAGCUCUUCCCAGACUCUUAUAAACAUAGAAGAACAUAGCGGUUAAGAACAUGAGCUCUGCAGCAGGAUUACACGGAUUCCAAUCUCAGCUCAGCCACAUACUAGCUGUGUGAUGUUGGAUGAGAACAUUGAGGCCUAGGGCAUUUCAAUAGCUUGCCAAAGGGCUCAUCAUUCUCGGGUAACAGGAUGAGGCCAGACACCAAGGAUCCCUGGAUCCAUGCCCUACUCUCCACACUUGUCUUGGGUCUAUGAAGCCCCCAGUCCCAAGAUGCUGAGAACCUGAGAUAUCACUCAUCUCAUCUUCCUGAAUUUUAUGAACUAAGAAGCGAAAGCUCACCCAAAGCCAUUUAUAGAGUCUAUGGAAAAAGAAGGACUAGACCCUGGAUUCCGUGAUUUACAGGUUUUUCUUCUCCUAAUUUUCAAUCCACUCCAAAACAUGCAGAGAGAUGACCUUAGCAAAGAUGUUUAUUAGUAGAUAUAAAGGGUGGCUGGUGCCAUUCUUCCAAAAGGAAAGCUGUCAUCUUUACUCACUCAGUCCUCAGCAAACUAUCUGAGCACUAUUUUUGUGCCUCAUCUGGGAGCUGGGGAGUCAGUGAUGGGCAAGAUAUGGUCUUUACUUGCAAAAUUCCCAUAGCACAUUGGAGAAGAAAAAACAGCAAUCAGGUAUGUGCGCUACAGGGGGGUGCAUGCUGCAACCACCAGCAUCAACAACAACAUGCAUUGAAUGCUUCAUGUAUAUCAAGUGCUCUCUCUCCUAAGAGAUAUGAAUGCAUUAACCCCAUUUACUCCUCAAGACUAGAAACAAACACUUUAUAAUUUGCUACGGACUGAAAAUUUGUGUCCCCCUAAAAUGUAUAUGUGGAAGUCUUAAUCCCCAAUGUGAUGAUAUUUGGAGGCGGGGCCUUGGGACAUAAUUGGGGUAGGGUGAGGUCAUGAGGGUGAAAACCCCAUACUGGGAUUGGUGCCCUUAGAAAGGUAUAAAGGGACUGGAGCAUGCAGUUUCUCUCUCUCUCUCUCUCUGUUUCUCUCUCUCUCUCUCUCCCUCCGCCGUAUGAGCACGCAGCAAGAAAGCGGCUGUGUGGCAACCAGGAAGACAGCCUUUAUCAGAAUCCAGCCAUAUUGGUGCCCUGAUCUCAGACUUUCCAGCCUCCAGAACUGUAAGAAAUAGAUGUUCACUGUUUAAGUGCCCCAGUCUAUGGUAUUCUAUGAUAGCAGCCCAAACUGACUAAGACAUCAUUUCUUUUAUCAGAUGAGGAAACCAAUACAUAGAAAGACUUUUAAAUUUUCCCUAAACAAUGGAAGUACAUGCUAAGUGCAAUAGGGGUAUGUAGAAAAGAGUGUUCAGAUUUUAGGGAGAUUUCCAGAAAAGGCCUCUUCAUGCUGGAGAUGGCUUUUUUUAAAUAAUGGAAGGGAGUUCCCAAGGCAAUGGUUGAGCAGUGGAGUGGGAGCCCAGGUAAGAGUAUGCAGGUGGUAGAAACAAAAUAUUCUAAGACAGACGGGCACAAAACAGCAUGGCUUAUUUGGGGAACUACAAGUACCUCUAUGUUGCUGAUGCCUGAUGUUCUAGAGGACACAUUUCAAGGCAGGAACAAGCUGAGGGCAUAUCUCAACCUCCCCUUCCUCAGGGGCACUCAUCCUUCAUCCCUUUAGCAGUUUUACUCAGCAUUUGUUCUAGGAUGCCAGGCUGUGAGGUAAGACAGGUAAGUGAGACUCAGCCUCUACCCUCAGAGUUCACAAUCUAAUGGGAAAACUAAAUUAUCAUAAAGAUAGCAUUACAAAUGCAGUGCUUGACAUAUGCCUGGAGCACUAUGAGACUGUAGGUGAGAAGCAACGAAAAGAGGACAAUCCGGAGAAGGUAGCAGCUGUGCUGUCUCUUAAAGUCUGACCAGGUAGUCCAGGUGUUCCCUGUGUUUGAGGUCAAGGGGCAGCAGGAGAAGAUGCAACAGAAAAGCACACAGCACGAGCAAAGCCACAUAGCUGAAAAACAGCUAUCACCUGCAACAGCUUCUGCUGCUACAAUACCUGUACUCCUCUUAGAUUUUAUUCCAGUAUCAGCCAACAACGUGAUCUGACAGGACAGUCCCAGCCCUAGGAAAUGAACUAUGAUUCGUGCAGACCGAUCGAAGUCAUACCAUACAGCGAUGGAUUUGGGCAUGUGGGCCAGUUGGGAUCAAGGGAAAGGAAGCAUUUCCAUUUUGAUCAAUGGGGGGAUUCUGGGAAAGUCUUCUGCCCGUAAAAAGAAACAAGCCAGGAAAAACGUCCCCUUCCUCCCUGUAGACAUGGCUAUGAACGGCAGGAUGCCUGAAACUGUCCAGGCUUGUUAUGAUGGAGAGACACACUGCACAGGGUGGGGGAAAGGGGAAAUAUACCCUAAGAAUGGUAGACCAGAAAGAUGUAAAGCAUCUGUAUCCUUGUUGAAAUUAUAGUGCCUCCCAAUUAACAUACCUAGAACUGUUUACCUCUGGACAUUUCAUUAUGUGAGAUAUUAAAG
rnacentral:lncRNA from 1 species